rnacentral:ncRNA from 2 species
UCGAACCUCGAACAUUGAACCGAUUUUCACGCCCGAAUCAAGGGAAGCGGGUGAAAGACCCGCGCCGCCCCGCGGCCGUAAAGGGAACGAACGCCGAAUUCCGGUUUCAGAUCAGAGAUGAUAUCAAGGCGGCGAGAAAGAAGGCGACGGAGGCGUACUGCAUCAGUACGUUGAGGAGCCUUCGACGAGCCAACGAAGAGAGCACUCUGAUAUGGAAGCAGAGGAAUGCCACUGUCAUGGGCCAUACCAUGGUGGGAAGGCCGGCAAGUAGGUCGCCCUGAGCCGGAAGACCUGUUUCGGAGCCAUCUUCAUU